GCACUGCACUUCGGGAUAAGCUUGGGAAACUGGGUCUAAUACCGGAUAGGAGCCAUCUUUAGUGUGGUGGUUGGAAAGUUUUUUCGGUGUAGGAUGAGCUCGCGGCCUAUCAGCUUGUUGGUGGGGUAAUGGCCUACCAAGGCGGCGACGGGUAGCCGGCCUGAGAGGGUGUACGGCCACAUUGGGACUGAGAUACGGCCCAG
rnacentral:rRNA from 1 species